GAAUUUCAUCGGCAUCCUGAGUUGGGUUUAUUGAAGUGCAUGAAUUUCACAAUUGCUAUUUUGUCUUGCCUUCUUCAAUUUACUUCGCUGGUGUGUUCGGUUUGGUUUGGUAGCUGAAGUUGGUUCGAUCUGUGGUGGGAUUUUGAAGGUUUGGUAGAUUGUUGAUCCAUGUGUGUCAGCUGUGUAUGGUUUGAUGAUUUUCUUGAUGCUGGUGUGGUUGAUUUUUUGUACAGGUUCAUUUCAUCGGCUUUGUCUGUUGCUUUGUUGAUUUUUGCCGAAGGUUUUGUUCUUAUUAUCAUGUAAUGAAGUUAAGAUCCAUGCAUACCAAGGACGGAUUGAUCCAGGAACAUUGGAGGAAUAGCCUAAUAUCCAUAUGGAACAAGAAACUGGCCGAGGAGAAGGCACUCUGAAGACAGGUUGGUGCAUUGCAGUGUAGAGGAGCUAAUGAUUAGCUGGUUGUACUACCAAAACGAAUGUUGGAUUAAUGAUGAAGAACCA